GAUGAACGCUGGCGGCGUGCCUAAUACAUGCAAGUCGAGCGAACGGACGAGAAGCUUGCUUCUCUGAUGUUAGCGGCGGACGGGUGAGUAACACGUGGAUAACCUACCUAUAAGACUGGGAUAACUUCGGGAAACCGGAGCUAAUACCGGAUAAAAUUUUGAACCGCAUGGUUCAAAAGUGAAAGACGGUCUUGCUGUCACUUAUAGAUGGAUCCGCGCUGCAUUAGCUAGUUGGUAAGGUAACGGCUUACCAAGGCAACGAUGCAUAGCCGACCUGAGAGGGUGAUCGGCCACACUGGAACUGAGACACGGUCCAGACUCCUACGGGAGGCAGCAGUAGGGAAUCUUCCGCAAUGGGCGAAAGCCUGACGGAGCAACGCCGCGUGAGUGAUGAAGGUCUUCGGAUCGUAAAACUCUGUUAUUAGGGAAGAACAUAUGUGUAAGUAACUGUGCACAUCUUGACGGUACCUAAUCAGAAGGCCACGGCUAGCUACGUG
rnacentral:rRNA from 1 species